ACGAGUUCCCUUUCUGCUUCCAUCUCGUCCUUUCACCAACUCAUGAAGUUUGUGGCUUUUGUGUAGGGUUUUCACUAAACUUAACAGAGCAGACUUUACGAAGGCGAGGCAAGAGAAGCGUAUUGUUCCUGCGUCUCUCUCUCUAUGGCACCAUGUCUCUCCAUCUCCCUACUGGCUUUGUCAAUGGUAGAGAACUGAACGAGUGAUGAAGCCCAUAGGAGGUAUGCGACUGGAUUAAGCGAAUAGAGGUCGUGGAGGCUGGAGUAAGAGAACCGCGGCUUGAGGCGGAGGCGGAGGCUCUGGUAGCGGCGGCUGGAGGCGGAGGCUCUGGUAGCGGCGGCGUAGGCUUAGGUUUAGAUUAAGGUUAAUUAUGUUUUGGCUAGUUAGAUUUUGGUUUAAUGUUUUUAAUUAGUUUUUGGUUUAUUGUUAUCGAUCAGUUUCAGUUUAAUGUGCUCUUUAAUUAUUUGUAUACUGAUUUGAUUAAUAAAUAAAAUUUAAUUUUAAUUA